rnacentral:rRNA from 1 species
CCUACGGGGGGCAGCAGUGGGGAAUAUUGGACAAUGGGGGGAACCCUGAUCCAGCCAUGCCGCGUGUGUGAAGAAGACCCUCGGGUUGUAAAGCACUUUCAGUGAGGAAGAACGCCUGGUGGUUAAUACCCAUCAGGAAAGACAUCACUCACAGAAGAAGCACCGGCUAACUCCGUGCCAGCAGCCGCGGUAAUACGGAGGGUGCGAGCGUUAAUCGGAAUUACUGGGCGUAAAGCGCGCGUAGGUGGCUUGAUAAGCCGGUUGUGAAAGCCCCGGGCUCAACCUGGGAACGGCAUCCGGAACUGUCAAGCUAGAGUGCAGGAGAGGAAGGUAGAAUUCCCGGUGUAGCGGUGAAAUGCGUAGAGAUCGGGAGGAAUACCAGUGGCGAAGGCGGCCUUCUGGACUGACACUGACACUGAGGUGCGAAAGCGUGGGUAGCAAACAGGAUUAGAUACCCUUGUAGUC